rnacentral:piRNA from 1 species
CUGGACUUGAAGGACAAGACCAAGGU